rnacentral:antisense_RNA from 1 species
CACCCACCGCGGCAAUGCGUCGGGGGCGCGGGCUGGAAUUGGAACAGGGGCCAGCCACGCGCGUGGUGGGGAAGCCGAGGGGCCGGCAGUCGGGGGACUGCCGGCCCCAUUUUU